CGGGACGGGUGAGUAAUGUCGUGGGAAACUGCCUGAUGGAGGGGGAUAACUACUGGAAACGGUAGCUAAUACCGCAUAACGUCGCAAGACCAAAGAGGGGGACCUCCGGGCCUCUUGCCAUCGGAUGUGCCCAGAUGGGAUUAGCUAGUAGGUGGGGUAACGGCUCACCUAGGCGACGAUCCCUAGCUGGUCUGAGAGGAUGCCAGCCACACUGGAACUGAGACACGGUCCAG
rnacentral:rRNA from 1 species